rnacentral:rRNA from 1 species
UGGCGAACGGGUGAGUAACACGUGGGUGAUCUGCCCUGCACUCUGGGAUAAGCCUGGGAAACUGGGUCUAAUACCGGAUAGGACCAUGCUUUAGUGUGUGUGGUGGAAAGUCUUUUCGGUGUAGGAUGAGCCCGCGGCCUAUCAGCUUGUUGGUGGGGUAAUGGCCUACCAAGGCGGCGACGGGUAGCCGGACUGAGAGGUUGGUCGGCCACAUUGGGACUGAGAUACGGCCCAG